rnacentral:rRNA from 1 species
GUCCUACGGGGGGCAGCAGUGGGGAAUAUUGCACAAUGGGCGAAAGCCUGAUGCAGCAACGCCGCGUGAAGGAAGAAGGGUUUCGGCUCGUAAACUUCUAUCAACCGGGACGCAAGAAAUGACGGUACCUGCAUAAGAAGCCCCGGCUAACUACGUGCCAGCACCCGCUGUAAUACGUCGGGGGCAAGCGUUCUCCGGAAUUACUGGUUGUAAAGAGUGAUUAGGCGUCAUGGUAA